CCUACGGGAGGCAGCAGUGGGGAAUAUUGCACAAUGGGGGAAACCCUGAUGCAGCGACGCCGCGUGAGUGAAGAAGUAAUUCGGUAUGUAAAGCUCUAUCAGCAGGGAAGAAAAUGACGGUACCUGAGUAAGAAGCCCCGGCUAACUACGUGCCAGCAGCCGCGGUAAUACGUAGGGGGCAAGCGUUAUCCGGAUUUACUGGGUGUAAAGGGAGCGUAGACGGCAGUGCAAGUCUGGAGUGAAAGGCGGGGGCUUAACCCCCGGACUGCUUUGGAAACUGUACGGCUGGAGUGCAGGAGGGGUAAGUGGAAUUCCUAGUGUAGCGGUGAAAUGCGUAGAUAUUAGGAGGAACACCAGUGGCGAAGGCGGCCUGCUGGACAUUAACUGACGUUGAGGCGCGAAAGCGUGGGGAGCAAACAGGAUUAGAUACCCGGGUAGUC
rnacentral:rRNA from 1 species